AGAGUUUGAUCCUGGCUCAGGACGAACGCUGGCGGCGUGCUUAACACAUGCAAGUCGAGGGCGGGGAGCAAUCCCCGACCGGCGAACGGGUGCGUAACACGUGAGCGACCUACCUUCCUGCGGGGGAUAGCCGGCCCAACGGCCGGGUAAUACCGCAUACGCUCGAUUGGGGGCAUCCCGAGUCGAGGAAACUUCAGGGGCGGGGAGAGGGGCUCGCGGCCUAUCAGCUAGUUGGCGGGGUGACGGCCCACCAAGGCGGUGACGGGUAGCUGGUCUGAGAGGAUGGCCAGCCACAUUGGGACUGAGAGACGGCCCAGACUCCUACGGGAGGCAGCAGUGGGGAAUUGUUCGCAAUGGGCGCAAGCCUGACGACGCAACGCCGCGUGGAGGAUGAAGGUCUUCGGAUUGUAAACUCCUGUUGCCCGGGACGAAAAGCCUCGACCUCAUACGUCGAGGUCUGACGGUACCGGGUGAGGAAGCCCCGGCUAACUCUGUGCCAGCCGCCGCGGUAAUAC
rnacentral:rRNA from 1 species